rnacentral:rRNA from 1 species
GGGGAAUUUUGGACAAUGGGCGCAAGCCUGAUCCAGCCAUGCCGCGUGUCUGAAGAAGGCCUUCGGGUUGUAAAGGACUUUUGUCAGGGAAGAAAAGGCUGUUGCUAAUACCAGCGGCUGAUGACGGUACCUGAAGAAUAAGCACCGGCUAACUACGUGCCAGCAGCCGCGGUAAUACGUAGGGUGCGAGCGUUAAUCGGAAUUACUGGGCGUAAAGCGGGCGCAGACGGUUACUUAAGCAGGAUGUGAAAUCCCCGGGCUCAACCCGGGGACUGCGUUCUGAACUGGGUGACUCGAGUGUGUCAGAGGGAGGUAGAAUUCCACGUGUAGCAGUGAAAUGCGUAGAGAUGUGGAGGAAUACCGAUGGCGAAGGCAGCCUCCUGGGAUAACACUGACGUUCAUGCCCGAAAGCGUGGGUAGCAAACAGGAUUAGAUACCCUGGUAGUCCACGCCCUAAACGAUGUCAAUUAGCUGUUGGGCAACCUGAUUGCUUAGUAGCGUAGCUAACGCGUGAAAUUGACCGCCUGGGGAGUACGGUCGCAAGAUUA